UUGAAUAAACUUGGUGGGCUGUUGCUGGCUUUACAAAGCAUGUGCACGCCUGCUAACUUUUAUCAAUCCACCUGUGCACUAUCUGUAGUCUUGGGAAGUUAACAGCCAGAUAAAGCCUUUGUGGCCUUUGGGUUGUAAUCAACUUCUCUGACUAUGUUUUUGCAUUCAUCAUGUAACAUGUAGUCAGAAUGGUACACCAAGGCCUUUUGUGCCUAUAAAUAUCAUUA
rnacentral:misc_RNA from 1 species